AUGAACUAAAUGGUUUAUGUGAAGUUCUGCCCUUCAUAUAACACAACAUAAAAAAUAAAGAACAUGUUGAAUGUUCCCCAAGAAGUCUGUUGAUGGAGGGGAAAGAUUAUGAUUGCUAUGAGCACCAUCAUCAGGUUACUGAAGAGGAGAAGGUGGGAAAGGAAGACUUGGGGGUUUUCCCUCCUCCUUUCGCUUGCGGGAGCUUGAACUCUUUUUAAGUCGGCCACCACACCAUGGCUAAUGGCCCCCGCUGAGCCUGCUGUCUCACUCCCGGCAUCAAGCCCAUCAACCCUAAAUCAAACCAUAGAAAAUUGGGCUUAAAAUAUUGGGGAGAGGCCCCCCAAAAGAGACCCAAAAGCUGCAUCUGUCGCCGGCUUACAUGAAAGUUGAGCUCACGAGGAGCAGUGGUCACAUCGGUCCUCGCUUGCAGUAGAUCUAAGAUGAAAAGGGUUGAGGCUUGUUCCUCUUGUACGGUGUUUUAUAGAGCAGGAUCUCGUGGACUGUUGGAGAAAUACAGUAGGUGCCGUUCGAUGCGUUGCCUGAUGGAUAUGACAUGCUAGUAGUCUCGAGCGAGCUAAGUAAAGGGCAGGACAUGGCUGGCUCCUGCCCAGCGUUACUGUGACAGCCAGGAUGUCGGUUCAGGACCUUUGGUGAAGUCGGGGUCAUGGUAAACAAUCAUGCCAGCACACAAGUGGGUUUUAGCGCGCCCCUUUCAUUCACGUGCAGAGAAAGGUGCCCCUCCCCUCAGCACACAGCUUCAAUUCCUCUGGCUUCCCGAGGGAAAAUACUGCCUUUCUCUAAAUAAACCCACUAUAUCUCUCUCUCUUUCACCCUCUCUCUCUCACACACACAUGCACACACUCCAGUAGGAGAGCAAAGCUUCGCGGGACGUGACCUCGGCUCUCCUUUAGGUAAAGCGGCACUCCUGGCUAUGCGCAAGACCUGUGACUUCUUUUCUCAGCUUGGUCCUACUGGGAGAAGGCAGGAGAUGCAUAUGUAAUCCUGAUGUGUCUGUAUGUGUGAAAGAGAAAGACUGAGGGAGUUCUUUUGUUCUUUUUUUUUUUUCUUGGACCUUAUUUAUUACAUGCUGAUUCUACUAUGUAAAGGAGCAAAGUGCAAAUAGUUGAAGUUGUUUUUUUUGUUUGUUUUUUUAAUAUGCAUUCACAGAAUAAAGUCAAUCCCUCUGAUGGAAGCUGGAGCAAGAGUUACGUAUAAUUCAAGCUGGUUUAUAAACAAUAAUAACUAGUUUAUGAUAUGUAUAUAUUAACAGACUCUUUCACUACGCUUACAUCAUGUGGAGACAGGAUAUAGGGAGACAGAGUUAUGUUACAUGUUAUUUUGUGAAGAAGAGAUUAUUAUAAUACACAUUAAAUCUAGCUUUAAUUAUUGAAUUAAUAUAAAAAUAUAUAUACUAAUUCUAAAUAAUAUAAUUAGUUGUGAUUGUGAUACUAAAGUACAAACAAAUGAAAAUGUUAGUUCAGUAUGAACAAAUUACCACCAUAUUUUACUUCUGCUGA